rnacentral:pre_miRNA from 1 species
GUUAUACUCCCUCCGUCCGGAAAUACUCGUCAUCAAAAUGGAUAAAAUGGGAUGUAUCUAGACGUAUUUUAGUUCUAGAUACAUCUCUUUUUAUCCAUUUUGAUGACAAGUAUUUUCGGACGGAGGGAGUACAUA